rnacentral:rRNA from 1 species
GACGAACGCUGGCGGCGUGCCUAAUACAUGCAAGUAGAACGCUGAAGAGAGGAGCUUGCUCUUCUUGGAUGAGUUGCGAACGGGUGAGUAACGCGUAGGUAACCUGCCUGGUAGCGGGGGAUAACUAUUGGAAACGAUAGCUAAUACCGCAUGACAUUGAUUAUCGCAUGAUAAUUGAUUGAAAGAUGCAAUUGCAUCACUACCAGAUGGACCUGCGUUGUAUUAGCUAGUUGGUGAGGUAACGGCUCACCAAGGCGACGAUACACAGCCGACCUGAGAGGGUGAUCGGCCACACUGGGACUGAGACACGGCCCAGACUCCUACGGGAGGCAGCAGUAGGGAAUCUUCGGCAAUGGGGGGAACCCUGACCGAGCAACGCCGCGUGAGUGAAGAAGGUUUUCGGAUCGUAAAGCUCUGUUGUAAGAGAAGAACGGGUGUGAGAGUGGAAAGUUCACACUGUGACG